CUCUGUUGCUACAACCCCUGGUGCCCCAGGCCACAUCAGUCGGACCAGGGUGUCCCUUGUAGGGGGCAUUUGGGGGAAUGAAACCUGACAAGGAAAUGGAGGCUAAGAACGGUCAAGUGAGUUACCUACUGGAUCCCAGAGGUGGAAAUGAGCCACCCUCCAGGCUGCACACACCUCUUCCCUGAGUCCCACAGCUGCUGUCUAAACAUUGGUGCCAUGUCCCGAUCAAGCCACAUCUAUGCCAACCAACACUGAUCAACAAGAAUGGAAAUGAUUUCACACCCUCCUGAAGCUCCAGCACGCAGCUGCCGCAAGACCUGCCCACCCCCCGCAGGAAGCACCAGGGCUAAGGAUGAACACCCUGGGAGAUAUGCUGUACCACUCGGUCAUGUUUUUGCAGGACUUUAAAAAAUUAAA